rnacentral:rRNA from 1 species
UACGGGGGGAGCAAGCGUUGUUCGGAUUUACUGGGCGUAAAGGGCGCGUAGGCGGCCACCGCAAGUCAGUUGUGAAAUCUCUGGGCUUAACCCAGAAAGGUCAACUGAUACUGCGGGGCUAGAGUGCAGAAGGGGCAACUGGAAUUCUCGGUGUAGCGGUGAAAUGCGUAGAUAUCGAGAGGAACACCUGCGGCAAAGGCGGGUUGCUGGGCUGACACUGACGCUGAAGCGCGAAAGCUAGGGGAGCGAACGGG